rnacentral:rRNA from 1 species
ACGGAGGAUGCAAGCGUUAUCCGGAUUCAUUGGGUUUAAAGGGUGCGCAGGCGGAUUGGUAAGUCAGUGGUGAAAUUCUAGUGCUUAACAUUAGAGCUGCCAUUGAUACUGUCAGUCUAGAGUAUAGUUGGAGUGGGCGGAAUGUGUCAUGUAGCGGUGAAAUGCGUAGAUAUUAGGAGGAACACCAGUGGCGAAGGCGGCUUUCUGGACUGUAACUGACGCUGAGGCACGAAAGCGUGGGGAGCAAACAG